rnacentral:lncRNA from 10 species
CGGCAGCCUCGGCGGUCUGGGCGGGGCGGGAAGCCCGCUUUCAACCCCGCGUACCCUCUGACCCCGGAAGUGCUUGCUGCGCAGGACCCCUUGAAAAAAAAUGAGGACCCGUCUUUUUUAGGUCACAAGAUUGCGCCAACCCUUACAUGGUCCUUAAAAAAAAAACCUUCUGACACUGCAGUAGUGAAAAUGAAGCGCACGAUGGGCGGAAGCUGUGAGUCCGGCAAAGUUUUAAAAUGAUGACGUAUUUUAUUAACUCUAACGGCACUGGCGGGUGACUGAAAAUACUAGUGCUGUGUAUGCGGGAUAGACAUUAUUUUCCUGCCCUACAUGAGGGGCUCGUGCGCGGAACGACAUGGGCAGCCCCGGCGGAAACUGCAGGCACAAGCCGGGACGCCGCGGGUUUAAAACAUGCGCGUGAGGUGACCAGAGCGCGUGCGCGAGGGUGUGGGGGGAUGGGAGGGGCAGCAGCCCUCUUCCGGGGGGGAGGGGCGGCGAGGCGAGGCCUGCGGAGCGGGUGCGCGCGGGCGGGCACGUGGGGCCCUUUCGUCCCCGGCGUCCGGGCGCCCUGCAUGGAUCCCCCACCCCAGCUCCUGCUCCCCGGCGGCGGCCGGUGGGCAGAAAGACCGAAACCCACUCACGGCCGCCUGCCGAAUCGCGGCUCUGCUGUUUGUGGGGCGUGCUAGAAACGUGGUCCUAAAAAGAAUGGCGUCCAUUUACAUAAUGCUUUGUUUGCGUUUCGCAAGUUUCUUUCGGUUAAAGCCACAGAAACCCCACCUCCUGCCCUUGUGUCGUUUCCACCGCGGCACCCUUUUCCGACAUUAGAAACAAUAGUGUACGCCUGUGGAGGCCUCGUUUGUUCAGGGGCUGCCGGCCAGGGCUUCAGGACGUUUCUGCGGCUUUCCCCGCGCGGCCUGGGCUCCCGCGGCUGCUUUUCGGGCCCAUGGGCGCAGCCACUGCGCCAGGCUCAAGGGGGGCGGCCCCGUCAGGGCCCGCCAUCUUGGAAGGCCUUUUUUGCCGGUUCUUCCCGCUGAGGAAGUGUCGCUCAAGACGCUGGCCUAUGAGUUGUGAUUUCUGCCUUUUCCCCUUCCUCCUUGGGCUAAGCCAGACCAGAAAGGGCCCCGUGCGCAACGUGCUUCACAAUCUCUCAGGGAAAGCGGCUAACGUGGCGCUACUCCGCCUCCCCUGUUCCUUACCCUUGGGGCGGCCGCCAUGUUUCCUGAACACAAAAUGGCGACACGUGGUUAGCAUUCGUCGCCAACGAGAAAUUGGGGUCGGCCCGAAAGCUCUAGAAUGCACCCCUCUUCCUCCCCGGGGCCUUCCACCUCCGCGAGUUUUAUGACUUAAAAAAGCCCACAGGCUGGUCUGAAGGUCGGAGGCCUAAUUUUAACGCGUUUUCCUCCCUUUAAUUUGAAACGGGAACGCGAAUGACUGUAAAAUGUGGGCACAAUAUUUAAUCUCUCGCCUUUUUAAAGCUUAAUAGUGGAUAAUAGGGGGGCAGUAUCAAGGGAUAAUUUGGGUCCCCACAGUACCAAAGCAUUUAGAAACCUCUGUUUAAUUUAAGGAAUGAGAUAAGUUACUGCUUUUCUAGACUUCCUAGCAUGGGCUGUUGUGCUGGAGAGAACGAGAGCUACGAAGAGACUACAGUGCCUCUGACUUUUUCAUAGGACAGUUGGCCGAGGAAGACAAACAUAAAGAUGAAGUGCUUAAUUCAAGGUCACACAAUGUCGGGGAUGGACCUCCAGAUUUCCUUACUGACCUGCAUUAUCUUGUGGAUACCUGAGUGAAUUCCACACCACCCAUUUUAUAGAUGAAACCACUGAGACAUGGAGCAAUUGACUGAGUAGUCACUGCCCCACCCCUGCCUGGAGCCUCACACAUGACUCGCCUCCUCUCAGUGACCACAGGAAAACAAGCUCAGGGCUCCCACUGAUUGUACAUUAUGAGACGGAGUCUUGCUAUGUUGCCCAGGCUGGUCUUGAACUCCUCACCUCAAGCGAUCCUCCCGUCUUGGCCUCCCAAGUGUCAGGAUUACGGGCAUGUGCUAUCACACCCAACCUGAUACAUUGCCUUUAUAAAUUUUUUUUUCUUUAUUCUAAAAACCAGAAAAAACAAAACUGGAUACAUGUGCAGAACAUGCAGGUGAGACGUGGUCUUGUAACACAGUGGUUAAGAAUGUGACUUUGGAGCCAGCCUGCUAGGGGCUGAAUUCUGACUCAGCCAUUUACUAACUGUGUGACCUUAGGGAGGAGGACCUGGUUGAUAGAAGAAUUUAUCUCGUAGUCUUAACAUCCACUGUAAUUCCAAACUUUGAGGACGAUAGAGAUCAGUGGGCUUUGACUGCCCAGCAUGCAGUCUCCAUUCUUAGGUGGGUUCCCAAGCCUGUAAAAUGUAAGCCUUAUGCUGCUGAGGGCCAUCUUGCCACCCUGAGGGAAACGCUGCCUGAGAAUGAAACAAGCAUAAGUAAAAGCUGAGCUGUGAGAUGGAGCAAGAUGAAGGCCACAUGACAUCUUUGGAGCACCUGGAUCUAACUGUGCCUUAAGCUAGUCUAACCCUGAACAUUUCAUCAUUUCAUUGACAUGAGCCCAGGUUUUCUUUUUUUUUGGAUGGAGUCUUGCUCUGUCGCCCAGGCUGGAGUGCAGUAGCUCAAUCUCGGCUCACUGCAAGCUCCACCUCCCGGGUUCACGCCAUUCUCCUGCCUUAGCCUCCCAAGUAGCUGGGACAACAGGCGCCCACCACCACUCCCAGCUAAUUUUUUGUAUUUUUAGUAGAGACGGGGUUUUACCAUGUUAGCCGGGAUGGUCUUGAUCUCCUGACCUCAUGAUCCGCCCGCCUCGGCCUCCCAAAGUGCUGGGAUUACAGGUGUGAGCCACUGCACCCAGCCCUCAGGUUUUCCCUUUUUUUACCCCUCCUUUUGAAAAUUUGAUGUGGAAUUUUGCCACCUGCAGCCAGAAGAGUUUUAACUAAUCAGUGCCAUAAAUUUUAUAUAGUUCUCCUUGCAAAAUGUGGAUCAGCCUUUCUCAGCAAAUCCUUUGUCAUAAAGUGCUGAAUUGUAAGUUUGUCAUGAGAAUCACAUGAGAUCAUGCAUGUGAAGAACCUGGCAUUAUCCUCCUCAUAGAAAAAAACCAGUAAAUAUUAACUACAGGAAGCAAGGAAGGAGUGGGGUGAGGGGAAGAAGAAGGGGUACUGAUUUAAAAGAACCCUGGAGUCCUAAGGAUAAUCUAGGAACCCUCAGACCCAAUCCGAUACCCCUAUUCUAAAUGCUCCUAGUGCCCUGUACCUUCCCCUCAUAAGCCUUCAUUAUCAUUGUAAUGAUAUGUUUAUGUAAUAUUUUGAUUAAUGUCUCUCCUUCACUGACCUAGCAGUUCUAGCAGGGCAGUGAUUUUGCUGUGUUGCAUCCCCAGCACCUAGUCUGGUAUGUGGCAUUCAGCAUAUGUUUAUUGAAUGAAUGGCCAUGUGGUUAUUCAGAUCCUCCUUGAUUAUUGGGGUUAGGAUUGUGGCAGAAGUGGCAAAAUCAGGGAGAGUAGUCCCUGUCCCCUCUGUAUCUUAUACACUGCCCACACUCCCAACACACAUACACAUACAGAGAAUUUUGUCUCAAUUAGAUAAUUAACUUCUGCUUGGUUGUAAACCAAACCACUGGUUCUUAAACUUUCAUUGGAUCAUUUUAUUGAAGAAUUAAAUAGUGUGGUUCUGGCCUAAUGUCUGGAAAGCCUUGCAGAGGAGUGGAUUAGGUCUUUGUGAUAAACAGGCAGCCUUCCCUGCUCCUGUGUCUUUAUAAAAUCUAUUUAACUGGAGUAGUCCACCCUCCCUCAGGCUCUUACAGGAAUAUGUUGGAGGCUGUAGGAAGGUGGGAAACCGAGAGGGAAAGGACUGGGCCGCUGGAGACUUCACUCAUUCCCUAGCAAGAAACAAAAGCAGUAAAAGGUGGCCCGAGGACAACCUGAAGCUCACUCCUUCAGCACUUUUGGCUGGAGGUCACUUGUUGGAGCCCCACUCAGAGCUCAGCACACCACCCCACCAGCAGCCUCCUCCUCCCAGCUGAGGCUGCAUUUCAUCCCUUCCCCCAGCCUGCUUUCCCUGAGAUAGGGGAGUGUUUCCCAGGGCCCAUGUGACUUCCACUGGCAAGUGACGAUUACCAAUGGUUUACUAGUCAGUGAAACUACCAAAGGCUUUUGUGCUGUAGUAAUCCUUUUCCUGUUUAAAACUCUGGGGAUUUUCUAAUGUUGCCAAUAGUUUUUCAAGUCAGCAAUUACUGUGUGGAUUAUGUAAUGGCUCGGUAUUAAAAAUAGAAAAGACUGGAGUUUGCAUCUAUUUUAACCAAAUCUUGAAAACAGAGCAAAGGGAGGGGAAGGGUGGAGAGGGAGAGACCAGAGGAGGAGGGAGAAAAAGAGAUCAUGUGACUGGAUAAGACAGCUCACAAUUCACUGUGCCUUUCUCCCACCAUUUGUGGCCCAAGGACCUGUACUCCCUCCUCAGCCUCCUCUAGGGAGGGGUCCUUGAUGAGAAUUCUGAGGACACAAGACCCCUUGUGGAUAUUUCUUAGCUCAGCCUUGGUGUGCUUACCUGCUUCUGACAAGCAAAGUGGCCAAGUAGGGGAGGGAGUUGAAUCUGAUGUCCUCCACUAAGUCCAG